UUAGUACUCCCUCUGUCCCAAAAUUCUUGUCUUACAUUUGUCUAAAUACGGAUGUAUAAGUCACAUUUUAGUAUUAGAUACAUCCGUAUCUAGAAAAAUCUAAGACAAGAAUUUUGGGAAGGAGUGAGUACUAA
rfam:Triticum aestivum genome assembly, contig: Triticum_aestivum_CS42_TGACv1_scaffold_212742_3AS